AAUUCUAUUGCCGAAUUGGUAAAGGCAUCGCCGAUCACAGGCGAGGGUGCGGGUUCGAGUCCCGCUGGAACGA
rnacentral:tRNA from 1 species